GAGGUGAUUGGAUCCAAUGUGAUUGGAUCAUGUUGAUUACACCAGAUUACUGUUAAGGAUCACCUGCCCUUAAGAAGAAGCUGGUGAGGAAAUGUCCCCACAGACAGUCCUCAGGCAUCCUGGCAGCUGUGUCACUUCCUGCAGAGUUUGUCAGCGCCCGCCUCUCUGAGAAUCUACUGACACACAGGAGGAGGACAGAAGGACUUCAGGGUGGUGUCCAGUACAAUUUUGGUCCUUGGUUUCCACAUCAAAAAAAUAGCCUAACUGGAGAAAUAGGCAUCUAUGUGGCUUUUGAUGUUGGAGUGGGGAUUCUGUAAGUUGUAAUUAUAUGUCUUAGGAGAGAAACUGAUAAAAUACAUGAGUCAAAUGCAAAUUAUUACGUGAUGUUCAAAUCCCCCUGAGUUGUGUAGAAUGUAAGCAGUUAUGGAAUCUAGUGUUUUGCUGAGGGCAAUCAAAGGCUAAAUAAUUUAUUUUUCAUUCUUCAUUCAAACAUAUACAUUUCACCCUUAUCAGAAACGAUUUUAAAAGUGGAACACUGAGGAUAAAGCAGUGAAUGGAACAGUCCACACCUUCAGCAGUGAGGCCCCCAGGCUGAAAGGGAGACAGCCUUUUUCUAUGUUAAGUUGUAGCUGGAAAUUACUUCCUCUCAGGUCAAAUGUGAUCAUCUGAAUUUUGAAGAGGAAAGCAUACCUUACUCCAGAUUUUUAAAUAUCAUGGCCAGAAGUUAGUGGUAGCAUUCUUGAAUCAUUCUUUAUUUUGAAUGUCUUAAAAACUGUUGUGUUUCUCUUAUCUACUGUAGUCUAUUGUGCUAACCUUCAUGAAGUCUCAAAAACAAGCCAUUCUUGAGUACACAUUGAUCUUCGACAUUUGUAAGUCCUUGUCUUGUCUAGGCAGGGUCCUAUUCUUGGAAAGGGUCAUCAUGGCAGAGGUAGGUGCAAUGCAAGGACUGCAGAGCCUUUGGGAACACCACAGGAAGCCUGAGCUGCCCCAUGAAGUGGUAAGAUGGGGCUCUGUGUCCUUAGCCCUUGGGCCAAAUAAAGAGAGGAACUUGGAACCAAAGAGCCCUGGAAGCUCUGGAACUCAGGAUCCUCUAACAAGACUGAAAGAGAGAAGAAACAAAGAUGAAAGAAAGUGUGGAAGCAUCCUAGCAGACCAAUGCCCCUCCAAAUUCCAAGAGGAAAUCUGUCUUAGAUCCUGUUCUCACAGGUCAGCCAACUCUCAAGAAAAGUGCCAUGAGAUGCCCUUCUGUGUCUCCUAUCAAAAAACUUCAACUAAACUUCUUUUUGCCUACUGGAUAAGAUAGUCAAGGAGUGGAUACCACAGAUUCCCUCCAGCCUACAUUCUGGUACUUUGGUCAGGACUUUACCCUCCUUGUUAAGCUCACAGACAAAGUGCCUAAUGUUGGCUCCCAUGAUGCUCCCCAGGCUGCCACCAAAGUACUUGGCCAUGGCCCUGCCCUAAAUCCACAGGUUCAAGCCAAGUAUCCUAUUGUGAAAUCAAAGCCAAACUUACAACCUGCCACACCUAUAUUUGGCCAGGAAUCCAAACUCUGCAUCUUGGUAACAGACAAGAGAACUGCCUGGAUCUCCUUGCAAGAUUGCCCCUGUCAGACCUCCAGGAAAGAACUCACAAACACACAGCAUACUAUAACAAACCUGUAACCACACAGUAGUUGCUGAAUAAAGUUUGUUUAAUGUAAAAACA
rnacentral:lncRNA from 1 species